rnacentral:rRNA from 1 species
CUUAGAGGUUAAGCCCGAUGAACCUGAAUAUCCAUUAUGAAAAAUUCAUCAUUAUAAUUUGUAAUAUUUAAAAUUAAAUUUUUAUUAUAUUAUCAAAUAAUAGUGUGCAUUUUUUUCAUAUAAGGACAUUGUAAUCUAUUAACAUAAAAAUAUUUAUCAAAAGAUCAUUGAGCGAUAUAAGUUUAUUUAAAUUAAUUUGCUUUAUUGCAUUUUAACAUAGAAUUAAAUGCUUAUGAUUUGAUAAAGUGUUGAUAGAUUUAUUAUAUAUAAUGCAAAAAUACAUUUUUGAAUUUUACAAUAACACAUAUUAUAAAUCAUUUUAUGGUUUUAAUAUUUAUUAAU